rnacentral:rRNA from 1 species
GACAGGGGGUGCAAACGUUGCUCGGAAUCACUGGGCGUAAAGGGCGUGUAGGCGGGCAGGAAAGUCAGAUGUGAAAUCCCUGGGCUCAACCCAGGAACUGCAUUUGAAACUCCCUUUCUUGAGUACCGGAGAGGAAAGUGGAAUUCCUGGUGUAGAGGUGAAAUUCGUAGAUAUCAGGAGGAACACCAGUGGCGAAGGCGGCUUUCUGGACGGUAACUGACGCUGAGACGCGAAAGCGUGGGGAGCAAACAGG